GAGACAGAGAGCAUGAGAGGGAGGAGGGUCAGAGGGAGAAGCAGACUCCCUGCCGAGCAGGGAGCCCGAUGCGGGACUCGAUCCCGGGACUCCAGGAUCAUGACCUGAGCUGAAGGCAGUCGCUUAACCAACUGAGCCACCCAGGCGCCCUAGAUUUUAUUUUUAAGUAAUCUCUGUACCCAAUGUGGGGCUUGAACCUACAGCCCUGAGAUCAAAAAUCACAUGCCCCACUGACUGAGCCAGCCAGGUGCCCCAAACCCAAUGAUCUUUAAAUGAAGAGUGACUUAGUACAGAAUGCACUUACUCUUAAAAAUUUUGCUUUAAUUAUACAUGUAAUUUAAUUAGAAGACAGAUAAAAAAGAUCCCUACAAUUCUUUUUUUUUUUUUUAAAUAUUUUAUUUAUUUAUUUGAGAGAGAGAGAGUGAGAGACAGAGGGCAUGAGAGGGAGGAGGGUCAGAGGGAGAAGCAGACUCCCCGCUGAGCAGGGAGCCCGAUGCGGGACUCGAUCCCGGGACUCCAGGAUCAUGACCUGAGCCAAAGGCAGUCGCUUAACCAACUGAGCCACUCAGGCGCCCAAGAUCCCUACAAUUCUAUGAGUAUUAUGUCUAUGUUGUAUAUUUUAGAUUUUUUUUGCAGGUGUAUUUUUAACUUUUUCCUUUUUUUUUUAAGAUUUAUUUAUUUAUUUUAGAGAGAGAGAGCACGGUGGGAAGGGGCAGAGGGAGAGGGAGAGAGAGUCUCAAGUAGACUCUGCUGCGCACAGAGCCUGACGUGGAGCUCCAUCCCAAGGUGCCGAGAUCAUGACUGGAGCCAAAACCAAGAGUGGGAUGCUUAACUGACUGGACCACCCAGUUCCAGAAAGCUGACUCUGAUCUGGAUUACAUUCAAUACAGGCUGGAAUAUGAAAUCAAGACUAAUCAUCCUGAUACAGCAGGCAAGCUGUCACCACCGAGUAAAGAAGAGAAAACUGCGGCAGAGCAAUUAAAAUCUUUCAUGUCAGACUUAUGAAGAAAUGGACUUGCAAAAGGGAAUUCUAAUGGAGAAGAGAGCUAUCCCAGAAAGAUUUAGGAAGAUGUCUCGUUAGCACUUGAUGACUAGAGGUGGGGGAAUGGAGAAGAAGAUUUGGCUGGAGUGACUGGAUAAUGAUGCCUUUCACAAGAGAGGGGACUAUAAAAAGGGCAGAUACUAUAGGAAUAAAGUUUAGCCAAAAGGAUGGAAUGGGAAUAAAGAGAUUUAAAAAUAUAUAUGCACACACACUUAGUCUUGUAAUUUCGAGCAAGGAAGUCACAUAACUCUAUUUUGCAUCUGUUUUUGUGUAAUUGGGAUAAUAUGGAUGUCCUGGCCUAUCAUGAAAGGAUAUAUGUACUAUCAGUCAGAUGUGAAUGAGCAUGCUUUGGAAAUUAAAGGAUAGAAAAAAUAUUUGUAUUACAUUAUAUAUAUGUAUAUAAUUUUACUUUUGAAAAUUUUGUUUAUAGGUAAUGGUCACAUUAUUAAUGAGACUGCUAAUAUGUGACCUAUAGUCCUCCACAAAAGCUAACUUUAGUAAUAAUAAAUUGGCUUUUCUGUGAUAGUCUCACUUUUUUUUUCCUAUUCCUUUUGCCGCUAAUGUUGAGCAACUGAACUAUGCUUUCAAAUGCUGUUUUAGACUGUCCCUGUUGUAUAUCAACACUACCUUUGUUCUCCUUCAGCCUGUAUUACUGUAAUCGUUCAUUCUGUAUGAAAGCUAAGAAACUGAAAUCAGAGGAUCACUUGCCAGUGUGUGUGUAAAUUUCCCUAUUCAUUUUUUUUUUUUCUUUUUAAGAUUUUAUUUGACAGAGAGAGACACAGCGAGAGAGGGAACACAAGCAGGGGGAGUGGGAGAGGGAGAAGCAGGCUUCCCGCAGAGCAGUGAGCCCGAUGCGGGGCUCGAUCCAGGACCCUGAGAUCAUGACCUGAGCCGAAGGCAGAUGCUUAAUGACUGAGCCACCCAGGCGCCCUUCCCUAUUCUUUUUUUUUUUUUCUUCUUUAAGAUUUUAUUUACUUAUUUGACAGAGAGAGACACAGGGAGAGAGGGAACACAAGCAGGGGGAGUAGGAGAGGGAGAAGCAGGAUUCCCGCGGAGCAAGGAGCCCGACGCGGGGCUCGAUCCCAGGACCCUGGGAUCGUGACCUGAGCUGAAGGCAGACACCUAAGGACUGAGCCACCCAGGCGCCCCCUCCCCUAUUCAUUUUUAAAUAACUAUUUUAAAAUAACUACUGGCAAUAAUGUAAUCAUAGGGACAGAUCUUGAUACAAAGAGGUUAAUCACAGGGUUAUUUAUACUAACAGUACAUAUACAUAUCUGGCUAAUAGUAGGUAAAUAGGAAAAUAAAUCAUAGUGUAUCCAUACAAUAAGAGGUGAAGCUGCCAAUAAUUUAUUACUGUUAAUGUUCUGGGAAAUGCUGAAGUUAUGUUAAAUGGGGGAGAGGUCAGAAGCAGAGAUUGCAGUUUUGUACUUAAGAUUGGGCUUUGGAGUCUGAGAUGUAAAUAGCAGGUUUUAAAUUCUAGCUGUGUGAUCCUGAGCAAAUCACUUAACUUCUGCGUGUCAGGAUGGCUGGAAGCACAAUGAAAUGGUAGUGUUUGAGUUUGAUAAUUAGUAAUCCUUCAGUGAAUAUUUCUGUAUAUGUAAUAAAAAUGAGGCAUUGAAAAGACUAGGAAAAAUGUAUCAAAUGUUAGCUCUGCAGGUUAUAGAAUUAUACUUUCAUAUAAUUAAAAAUUUGUUAUGAGCAUUUUAUUUGUCCAUUAACAAACCUGUAAUAGGUGAUAAACAGGGUUGGGAGAGUAGCUUCAGUUAAAAUUAUACUGUGUAGUUUGAAUAUUUAAAGAACAGAAAACCCCCAGUUUUUAAAUUACAGAGAAAUAAGUCAUACCUCAGUAACAUAUUUUCUUCAGUACUUGGGCAGUUAAUAUUAAGGAAGUUUUGUCCUGGAAUGGCUCUGGGAUGUGAUGUUGACUGGUGGAAUUAAAAAAUAGUAUCACAAAGAGGACAAGUUCCUGAAGUUUUACCUCUGUGACUUCCUUCACAAUUGUCUUCUAAGUGUUGGUUCUUUCCCUCAGCUCCCUUAAAACUGUUCUCUGUGUACUCCUCUAUAUAUUCAUUUGUUUCCCAAGCUUCAUUUAUUGACUCUGUGGAUGAUUCCCAAAUAUAACUUCUUCCAUUAGAUCUAGAUUCAUAUUUCCAAUAAGAAUGUCUAUCUGAAUAUUCAAAUUGAUCAUGUCUAGAGUACUUACUGAUUUUAUUUUGUCAAUGGCCACUGUUCUUUUACCUGGAAUUAAAAAAUUUGCAUCCCUUUAUCUUCUUAGUCAAUAAAAUCUUUCUGAAAUGUU